rnacentral:rRNA from 1 species
UCCCCUAGGGGCUUACCUAGCGGGAACUGUGGUGUUCAGGACGUCAACUGGUAGCGCAAGACCGACCCAAGUCCCUUCUGAUCGAGGCCUUUCCCAGAGCGGGUGUUAGGCCUUUAGGGUCGGUCGAACGUUGCCUGCGAGCGUCCCAAGAGUCGGGUUGUUUGGGAAUGCGCC